rnacentral:rRNA from 1 species
GAUGAACGCUGGCGGCGUGCUUAACACAUGCAAGUCGAGCGAGUGAGUUCUUCGGAACGAUCUAGCGGCGGACGGGUGAGUAACACGUGGGCAACCUGCCUCAUAGAGGGGAAUAGCCUUCCGAAAGGAAGAUUAAUACCGCAUAACAUCGUUGAAGGGCAUCCUUCGAUGAUCAAAGGAGCAAUCCGCUAUGGGAUGGGCCCGCGGCGCAUUAGCUAGUUGGUGAGGUAACGGCUCACCAAGGAGACGGUGCGUAGCCGACCUGAGAGGGUGAUCGGCCACAUUGGGACUGAGACAAGGCCCAGACUCCUACGGGAGGCAGCAGUGGGGAAUAUUGCACAAUGGGGGAAACCCUGAUGCAGCAACGCCGCGUGAGUGAUGACGGCCUUCGGGUUGUAAAGCUCUGUCUUUGGGGACGAUAAUGACGGUACCCAAGGAGGAAGUCACGGCUAACUACGUGCCAGCCGCCGCCGUAAAAC